rnacentral:rRNA from 1 species
CGGCGUGCCUAAUACAUGCAAGUCGAGCGAAUGGAUUAAGAGCUUGCUCUUAUGAAGUUAGCGGCGGACGGGUGAGUAACACGUGGGUAACCUGCCCAUAAGACUGGGAUAACUCCGGGAAACCGGGGCUAAUACCGGAUAACAUUUUGAACCGCAUGGUUCGAAAUUGAAAGGCGGCUUCGGCUGUCACUUAUGGAUGGACCCGCGUCGCAUUAGCUAGUUGGUGAGGUAACGGCUCACCAAGGCAACGAUGCGUAGCCGACCUGAGAGGGUGAUCGGCCACACUGGGACUGAGACACGGCCCAGACUCCUACGGGAGGCAGCAGUAGGGAAUCUUCCGCAAUGGACGAAAGUCUGACGGAGCAACGCCGCGUGAGUGAUGAAGGCUUUCGGGUCGUAAAACUCUGUUGUUAGGGAAGAACAAGUGCUAGUUGAAUAAGCUGGCACCUUGACGGUACCUAACCAGAAAGCCACGGCUAACUACGUGCCAGCAGCCGCGGUAAUACGUAGGUGGCAAGCGUUAUCCGGAAUUAUUGGGCGUAAAGCGCGCGCAGGUGGUUUCUUAAGUCUGAUGUGAAAGCCCCACGGCCUCAACCGUGGAGGGUCAUUGGAAACUGGGAGACUUGAGUUGCAGAAGAGGAAAGUGGAAUUCCAUG